AGACGAACCGUCCAAACGUUAUUCGGAAUCACUGGGCUUAAAGGGUGCGUAGGCGGUCCUGAAAGUUGGGUGUGAAAGCCCUCGGCUCAACCGAGGAAUUGCGCCCAAAACUACAGGACUUGAGGGAGACAGAGGUGAGCGGAACUUAGGGUGGAGCGGUGAAAUGCGUUGAGAUCCUAGGGAACACCAGUAGCGAAAGCGGCUCACUGGGUCUCUUCUGACGCUGCGGCACGAAAGCUAGGGGAGCGAAGAGGAUUAGAUACCCUCGUAGUCCUAGCCGUAAACGAUGAGCACUGAUUUGGAGGCUCCUCCAUAGGCUUCCAGAUGUAGCGAAAGUGUUAAGUGCUCCGCCUGGGGAGUAUGGUCGCAAGGCUGAA
rnacentral:rRNA from 1 species